rnacentral:rRNA from 1 species
UACGUAGGGUGCUAGCGUUGUCCGGAUUUAUUGGGCGUAAAGGGCGCGUAGGUGGCGCGGGAAGUCAACGGUGAAAGUUCGGGGCUCAACCCUGAAUCGGCCGUCGAUACUCCCGGGCUCGAGCACUGUAGAGGCAGAUGGAAUUCCGGGUGUAGCGGUGGAAUGCGUAGAGAUCCGGAAGAACACCGGUGGCGAAGGCGGUCUGCUGGGCAGUUGCUGACACUGAGGCGCGACAGCGUGGGGAGCAAACAGG